UUUGACUAAGUCUCCACCUAACUCUUCUAAUCCUAAUUCACUCAUUCUCACAUCUCUCUAUCUACUCUCACCCUCACUUGCACGAUCAGUCUUCAACAAAAGAAAAAGAACAAAACAAAAAAUAAAGUUCAUCAAGAACUUGAAUGCUAAAACUCAAAAGCAAAGAUAUUCUAAAAACGAAAACAAAAAGGGGUUCCUCGACGGUUUGUGCUUGAAGUUUCGGUGGCGAGGCAUGGUUUUGUGGGAAAUUUGCAGCAUUAAAACAAGUGUUGAAAGACAUUAAGGUGCAGAUGCAGCUGUACGUUAGAGAUUACGAGUUGACGCAGAAGUUACCCGAACGUGGAGCUUUUAUUCGGAUAUGGUAGGCCCUCAUGCUUUUGAGGAUGCUUACUGAUUUAUUAUAGCGUAGACGUAGGCAUGAGCUAGUGGCGUAUGUUCCACUAGCAUUUCUUUCGUAUUUACUUUCAGACGUUAUAUUGGUGCCAUUUUGGCAACUCUAUAUUUAUGACUAUAUCUUUCAUUUGAUUA